rnacentral:rRNA from 1 species
GAUGAACGCUAGCGGCAGGCCUAAUACAUGCAAGUCGAACGGGAUUAAGGAGCUUGCUUCUUAUGAGAGUGGCGCACGGGUGCGUAACACGUAUGCAACCUACCUUCAACAGGGGGAUAGCCUUCCGAAAGGGAGAUUAAUACCGCAUAAUAUAACUGACCGGCAUCGUUCGUUUAUCAAACAAUAAGGGUUGAAGAUGGGCAUGCGUCCGAUUAGUUAGUUGGUGAGGUAACGGCUCACCAAGACCACGAUCGGUAGGGGAUCUGAGAGGAUGACCCCCCACACUGGUACUGAGACACGGACCAGACUCCUACGGGAGGCAGCAGUAAGGAAUAUUGGUCAAUGGACGGAAGUCUGAACCAGCCAUGCCGCGUGCAGGAAGACGGUCCUCUGGAUUGUAAACUGCUUUUGUUAGGGAAGAAACCCUCGGAUGCGUUCGAGGCUGACGGUACCUAAAGAAUAAGGAUCGGCUAACUCCGUGCCAGCCGCCGCGGUAAAAC